CAGGAAGUCGCAGGCCUUGCUCGCGGAGGCCUUGGAGGUGCUUAGGGAGAGGAGGAGUGGGAACUUGAUUGGUCGGAGUGCCGCCGUCGAGGUGCCGCCCGCUUGGAUGUGCUUGCUGGGGGGGCAGAGGCGCGGGGGUACGGUAGCUGUGUGGCAUUCAUGUGGAGGGGGUUCGCACCGCCACCGCUGGUCCCAGUCGUAGCAUUGGUGGCAUAUUUAUACGGAGGGCCCGGUGUGUUUGUAUGGAGAUGACUUUUUCUUGCAUAUUUCUGAAUAUUGUUCGUAUUGCAAAACAUCUUAUGUUGCGCGUGCAAAAGUCGCGGGUUCCCAGGGAUGUUUUUGUGCGAAGUGCGGAGUGGCCUCGGGGGAUGGUUUCUGCGGAAGGGACAUUUUUGCCCCCUUGGGGUUUGCGUGUGGUGUUCCUAUUUGGAAGGCGUAUUGUGUGUUC
rnacentral:lncRNA from 1 species